UUAGGUUGAAGCAGUCCUUCCAUCUUCUAAUUCUUCCUUCAAGAAGAAGAAGGAGAAGAAGAAAAAGAAGAGCUAGUUGCAGUAGGACUAGUAAAUGGAGGAAAAGCUGACAACCUGUCGUAAUGGAGUGGAAGGGGCGAUGCCGGCGGUGGCCAUGGUGGUGGUGCAGGUGGGGUUGGCCGGAAUGAACAUCCUCUACAAGCUGGCAAUAGACCGAGGAAUGAGCUUCCGCGUGCUCAUCGCUUACCGCUACAUUUUUGGCUCUGCCUUUAUUUGCCCUAUAGCCUUCUUCUUAGAGAGGAAGGCCAGGACGAAGCUGACUUGGAUUGUACUUGGCCAAAGCCUUUUGCAGUGGACUUUUUGGGGCAACACUGAAUGACAUUUUCUACUUAAUCUCAAUGAAAAUGACUUCAGCGACAUUUGUUUGUGCAAUGGCCAACCUAUUACCUGCCUUCACCUUCAUGCUCGCAGUCAUGUUUCGAAUGGAAAGGCUGAGAAUUAAGACACGAAUAGGGCAGGCCAAGGUUAUGGGGACCCUCAUAGGCAUUGGCGGGGCCAUGCUGCUUACCUUCUACAAGGGUGCCAAGUUCCAGCUAUGGCCGGUUCACAGCCAGUUGCUUCACCAUCAGGCCGACCAGCAGCACAAGUCAGGCAACCAGCAGGCGUUGGGCACAAUUUUUGCUGUUGACUAUGCUUUGACCUAUGCGAUAUGGCUGAUAAUCCAGGUGCCUUAAAUCUUAUUACACUACCAAAAAAAAAAAAGUAGAUUCAAGAAUGGCCGAAAAAUGUCGGUACAAGAGGAAGUAAUGUCGACAAAAUUUUUGGUUGUCGGUGAAAACUAUCACUGACACUUUUGUUGCACGCGUUGUUGUGCCCGUCGGUGUAAACAUUUUCAUCCAUACUUCAUAAACGUAGUUAACAAACGAUUAUUGUCGUCCAGAGGAUGUUGGUAAUAAUAAACUUUUACCGACAAUCCUGUGAACGUUGGUAAAACAUUUUUAUCGACACUUGCAUGAACAUCGGUAAAAUUUUUUAUCAGACAUUAUACUGGACGUGGGCAAAACAUUUUAUGGACACAGUUCCCAAACACUAGAACAAAUGCCCCAUUGAGCAUUGUCUAGAAUGAGAACAUGAUAAUGAAGUUUGAUCUCUAAUAUUUGCAGGCCAAGAUGAACGACAGGUAUCCACAUCCUUACUCCAGCACAGCCCUCAUGUGCCUGUUUACAGCCGUUCAGUCCACAUGCAUUGCAGGCGUUGUCGAUAGGACUAUAUCUGCAAGGAAGCUCAGCUGGGACGUCAAGCUCUUGACUGCAUGGAUCCUCUUGUCAAUGUUGAAAGGAUCAAAUUAUUCCCCAUGGGUCUAACAAGUAACUAAGGAGGCGUUUCUAUACCCAGAAUUAUGGAAUUUUACCAUCAAGAUGGUUAUUUUUCAAGAAAUUAGAAUCAUUAAACAAAUUGGGUAUUUUGUUUCUGGAAUUAGGAUCACAUAAGUUUGAAGCAUGUGACUUAUGAAAGCACUUGGAAUUUGAUUCAGUUCUUUCAUCUCAAUUUUCUCUCUUGGUUGCACGCAGGCCGUGUUCGUCUCAGCGAUGGUGUUGUCUCUCAUGUCAUGGGCCGUAUAGGAAAGAGGGCCAGUGUUCGUCUCUGUGUUCAGUCCUCUCUCACUUGUUAUCACUGCCAUCUUGGGAUCCAUAUUUCUUGAUGAGACUCUCCACUUAGGAAGAUAAUCCAGUACAGAAAAACAAGUUGGGAUGUUAAUCUUUCAAGUUUGUGUAACAGCGGCAUCAUCUCCUUUUUCAAGUUGGCAGGAGUACAAGCAUCCCACAACCGGUCUGACACUCAUUGGCAUCGACCGACUUUUCUUCUCUCCACUGCAACCCUGCUGGGGGAUCUCCCCUACUUUUUAUUGACAAACUCGAAUCUGCACAAAAUAGACAACAAGAAAGAGGGACCUCACAGUUAUCGCACCUCAUUUCGUCUUAGAGUCCUCAAAACAGGGAUCCAUGAAGAGCUUGACAACCUGUGCAGGUGGAUUACAAUUAGAGAUGUACAAAAACUUCCUAAGAAGAAAGAAAUAUGAUGAAACAGCCAAGAAGUGAUUCGGUUGACCUUUGCUUAGGAUCAACCCUUUCCUCUAGCAAAUUGGUCCCAGAAUCAGUCGAACACCCUUGCAUGCAUUGGGGAUCAACAUUAAUAUGUGGUCGAAAAUCUCCCAACUUCCUACACUGCCAGUUUUACUAGAAAAUUUGCAUACGUAGCAGACCUACUCCUCAUUGUUGGUCUUGAUGACGAAACCCCAUGAGAUCUGUUUGUGUUGCUCCUAACAGCAAAGCCAAUGUCAAAAAUUCCUUUGCAAGGGGUGGCCAUGGAUUUGGGAGAAUUUUAGUAAAUGGCCACAAGGUCGUUGCCUCCCUCAAUGAAUUAGAAGCAUUCUUGGAAAGCAAAAACAUCUUCACAUCAAACCAAGUUGGGAUGUUAACCUUUCAAGUUUGUGUAACAGCGGAAUCAUCUCCUUUUUCAGGUUGGUAGGAGUACAAGUCUGUUCUCUGAACAUCCGACUUUUUGAAUGUGGAACCACCAGUAGCUACGGUCACAUAGUUUCUUGUUAGUCUCCAAUCAGCAAUCCACCAAGUGCAUGUGAACCACCAGUAGCUACCGUCACAUAGUUCCUUGUUAGUCUCUAAUCAGCAAUAGAAUGUUCAUUCUUGUUAGUCUCCAAUGAAAUAAUUUGGAACUAUAAACAAGUUAAAUCUUAACUAUCCAUACCACUAACAUGAGAUGGAGAUGCUGGCAUCUUUAAUGUCUAGUUCAAGAUCAAAUCCAAUGAGUAUAUAUGUAGCUUGGAGGGGUUUAAAUGUUUAAUCAGCAUUCAAUCUACAGUUAUUCAUCCAAGUCUGAGAACAUGCUAGGAUGAGUCUGAAUGCCAAUUAGAAUCUAAUUUGGUAGAAACUUGGUGAAUCUGGUUUCCCAUUUGUGUGAAACUUCACUUACUU